rnacentral:rRNA from 1 species
AAUGAACGUUGGCGGCGUGGAUUAGGCAUGCAAGUCGAGCGCGAACCAGUCUUCGGACUGGGGAGAGCGGCGAACGGGUAGGAAUACCUCGGUGACGUACCCCUCGGUCGGGGAUAGCGGCGGGAAACUGCCGGUAAUACCCGAUAAUCUUCCCAAGUCUUACGGCAGGGGAAGCAAAGGUGAGAUUCCGUCGGGGGAGCGGCUGAGGUCGUAUUAGCUGGUUGGUGAGGUAACGGCUCACCAAGGCGAUGAUGCGUAGGGGGUGUGAGAGCAUGGCCCCCACCACUGGCACUGAGACACUGGCCAGACACCUACGGGUGGCAG